rnacentral:rRNA from 1 species
AUUGAACGCUGGCGGCAUGCUUUACACAUGCAAGUCGAACGGUAACAGGCCUUCGGGUGCUGACGAGUGGCGAACGGGUGAGUAAUGCAUCGGAACGUACCCAGAGGUGGGGGAUAACGCAGCGAAAGCUGUGCUAAUACCGCAUGUGAUCUGAGGAUGAAAGCGGGGGACCGAGCAGCAAUGUUUGGCCUCGCGCCUUUGGAGCGGCCGAUGUCGGAUUAGCUAGUUGGUGGGGUAAAGGCCUACCAAGGCGACGAUCCGUAGCUGGUCUGAGAGGACGACCAGACACACUGGGACUGAGACACGGCCCAGACUCCUACGGGAGGCAGCAGUGGGGAAUUUUGGACAAUGGGCGCAAGCCUGAUCCAGCAAUGCCGCGUGCGGGAAGAAGGCCUUCGGGUUGUAAAACGCUUUUGGCAGGAACGAAACGGUGUCCGCUAAUACCGGGCGCUAAUGACGGUACCUGCAGAAUAAGCACCGGCUAACUACGUG